AUUGAACGCUGGCGGCAUGCUUUACACAUGCAAGUCGAACGGUAACAGGCCGCAAGGUGCUGACGAGUGGCGAACGGGUGAGUAUGCAUCGGAACGUGCCCAGUCGUGGGGGAUAACGCAGCGAAAGCUGCGCUAAUACCGCAUACGAUCUAUGGAUGAAAGCGGGGGACCGAAAGGCCUCGCGCGAUUGGAGCGGCCGAUGUCAGAUUAGGUAGUUGGUGGGGUAAAGGCUCACCAAGCCAACGAUCUGUAGCUGGUCUGAGAGGACGACCAGACACACUGGGACUGAGACACGGCCCAGACUCCUACGGGAGGCAGCAGUGGGGAAUUUUGGACAAUGGGCGCAAGCCUGAUCCAGCAAUGCCGCGUGCAGGAAGAAGGCCUUCGGGUUGUAAACUGCUUUUGUACGGAACGAAACGGUCCUGGUUAAUACCUGGGGCUAAUGACGGUACCGUAAGAAUAAGCACCGGCUAACUACGUGCCAGCAGCCGCAGUAAGAC
rnacentral:rRNA from 1 species